CUCUCUUCCCUUUUCUCCCUCCUACUCUUUCUUUGCCAAUUGCCCUUAGCACAUGGCCGCUGUCAGCUGGAGUGGUGUUGAGAGAAAACCUGCAGCGGCCUUGCAGAUAAGCCACAUGCCUGAUGUCAACGUGAUCUCACCAGAGAACAAUGGAAAUGAAAAUGCCAGAAUCAAGAAACAAGGAUUUGCUUUGGCUUUCAUCUGAAACACACUUAGUAGAAUUCCUUCUUCCCCCUUG